CGGCGAGUUUCAGGAGGAGGCAGCGACGUGAUCCAGGAGGAGGCGGCAGCGGUAGUUCUCCACUAAUUGCAGACAGACAACGCGUCUGUCUGGAAUUUGGGGUUUUUAUUAAACCCCAAACCUUACAUGGCGGAAAAGUCCGCCCAAUCAAAAUUUGGGCGGGCUUUUCCGCCCGAUUCCCCGAAAACUUAACAUGACGGACAUCCGCCAUGUUAAGUCAAUUUAAUCGGGUAAUCGGAUAACUUUUGGGGGGGUUUUCGAAAUUUUGGGCUGGACAUUUUAGAUGGCGGAAAUCU
rnacentral:lncRNA from 1 species